UAGAGAUGAUUGAUGGAAGAAUGAAGGAAGAUUAUGAUCAGUUUGGGAAAAGAUUAAUUGCUCCUAUAAUCUCCCAAAAUCCAUGAGAUUCAAUCUCCCAUUAAGGCAUGGGAUUUGUUUUCCUCUUUCUCUUGAUUUCCUAUGCAGUUUAGGAAGGAAAUUCACUCCUUGGCUGAUUCUUCCUUUAAGAAGAAAUUUUUUUCCCUUUCCUUGCUCACAUCACAACUCUACUUUAUUUUGCUAAAAAGAAUUAUAAGUACGAUUUAGUAACUAUUUACCA
rnacentral:lncRNA from 1 species